UGCCAGCAGCCAAAGAGUCAGGAGUUCCUAAGCCAGGAUGCAAGAAGAAGCCUGACCGCAGGUUUCCUUAUGCUAAUCAGACAUCCACCACUCUGAAGUUCUGAAGGAUAAACAGCAAACAGGAAUGGGGUACUGAAAGACAAGAAUCUGCAGAAGGUGCACAAAGAUCAACAAAACUGAAAGAAAAGGACCACAAUCACUAUUUGUGAUGAAAAGAAGGCUUCACUUAGCUGAGACUGAAAUAACCAGAAUCAGAUUGGGUAGACCAACCAACUGAUCAAAGGAGGUGUAAAUUCACAUACAUUAAUGACCCUGUUAGCUAAUAAUGUAUGUCUUGCAAAACAGCCUUACUAUAUUUAGCCUAACUGCUCUAUCUUGCUUUAAAACUGCAUUUUUCUAUGGCUCUUAGGUAAAGCAAAGAUUUUUUUAAAGUCACUUAAAGAAACCUUUAGCAUGGGAAUUCUUUAAACUUCUAUCAGAAGAACAAAACUUUCUAUUCAGCAUAUACUGUAAUAUUUUGUGUCUUUCUCCCAUUGAGAUACCUUGACUUUCAACAUUUGCACUUUGCAGUUAAAUAUGAAAACCCCUAUGCACCCAUAAUUAGAGACUUGUUAAUUAUUGAAAGUAGUGA